rnacentral:rRNA from 1 species
AACGAACGCUGGCGGUAUGCUUAACACAUGCAAGUCGAACGACCAAAAUUGGGGCUUGCUCCAAUUUUAGUGAGUGGCAAACGGGUGAGUAACACGUGGGAAUCUACCUACCAGUACGGAAUAACAUUUUGAAACAGGCGCUAAUACCGUAUAGUCUCCAAGGAGGAAAGAUUUAUCGCUGAUAGAUGAGCCCGCGUAAGAUUAGGUAGUUGGUAGGGUAAUGGCCUACCAAGCCGACGAUCUUUAGCUGGUCUGAGAGGAUGAUCAGCCACACUGGGACUGAGGCACGGCCCAGACUCCUACGGGAGGCAGCAGUGGGGAAUAUUGGACAAUGGGCGAGAGCCUGAUCCAACAAUAGCGCGUGAAUGAUGAAGGCCUUAGGGUUGUAAAGUUCUUUUAGUUGGAGAGAUAACGACGGUACCAACAGAAAAAGCCCCGGCUAACUCCGUGCCAGCCGCCGCCGUAA